AUGCAAACACAAAGAAGAAAAAGUUUUUAAAAAGCCAAAAAAGACAACCACAAUAACAUUUUAACAAACAAUACUUGGUAAGUAUGAUUCUUUCUCGAAACAGAGAUUAUCGAACUAAUCUUCAUAUAUUUUUCUCUAAAUUUAUUGAAACUUACAUUAGUACGUAAUAGGAAGAAAUUGAUCAAUGCUUAAUUUUUUUUGAACAUUUUACAAAUUGAUAGAAUAAAUUAUAUAACUGACAGCGUAUCAACAACCUCAAUUUUUGUGACAAAUUACAUUGAUAAUGAAAGGUUAUAAAUUCAUAUGAUGGACUAAAUUAUCUAACUAUAGAAAUAUUGAAUAUUUUUAUGCCAAUUGUGCUUCAUAUAAUGAAUUUCAAAUCUUAGCCAUUCAAUGUUAAUUGAAAUUCGAUUUCGAUCUAUCUUUUUAGUGCGUGGUCCACCAAAUUGCCCUGAUACAAUAAUUUUUUCUCUUUCUUAGCCAACUUUGCCAUCAGCCAGAAGAUGCAUAACCACUCUCAUCCCUUGGUUGUUAAACCCUAAAAUGAAGCCCAAAUUCAGUUAUAAGGAAUAGUCAUUCAUGAAGAAUGAAAGCAUGACAUCGAUCAAAGGGAGGAAAGGGACAAAAAUCAACCAAAAAAAUUGCAAAGUGGGGGAAAAUUAAGAAAAAGGAAGGAUUCAAGUCUUUGUCUGGCACAAAGGAGGCUUCAACAGCCACUCAUGAAACUCCUCUGGCUCUCCAUCCUAAGUCCCCCAUUUCUCUCUGUUAAUGGAACAAUGCAUCAGUAAAGCAGAUCAAUGAGAACUAUCUAAUAGAUUAUGGCUUUUUAAAGGGAUGGAAGCAGUGAGGGAUCGAAGUCAUGGUUGGAAAUGAAAAGAAAUAUGGGAGUAGGGAGUUGAAACCACUAUAUAAUUUAAGGGAAAAAGAGACUUAUUUAAUAGAGACUGUAACCACUUUGAAUAUUUCUUUUGCCUAAAAAAAUAUUGAUAUAUUAUUAUUUUUAGCCUGAAUUUAAAUUUAAAAUUUAAAUAUGACAAUUAAGUGGGAUUUCAUGGAUUUCUUGCAAUGAAGGAGGGAAUGUUUUUUAGGCACUUAGAUUCUACUAUUUAUAAUACAAAGAUUUCAAUCGAAAUAUGGGAAAGGGGCACUAAUUCUUUGUCUCAUUCUUGACUCAUUUGAAAUAAAAUAAUGAAUCUAUUUCUUCGCCUAUUUGCCAAUAAAUCCAAAUUUUUGGUAGGAUAUACGAGAUUACAAUGACCCAUUCGAUUAACUUCUAAAUAAUCCGGAAUCCUAUCCUUUUAUUUUUGCUAGAAGAAUCCGAAAAUUUAUCUUUUACUUGAUCAUUGGUCACUGAGGAGUUAGAAAUAGAUCUUUCUUCGAAAGAAAGAGAAUGAACAUUGGUUUGAUCUUUAUCCUUGUGGAGCGAAAAGGUAACUACACUGGAUCUGUACGUCCUUCCCGAUAAUAUCCAGAAAUGACUUGUUUUUGGUAAGAGAUGAACAUUACCGAAUGUAAAUGUAGGUACAUGGUACACAUCGGUACUUCAGUGCAUUUCUCCUUCCGAGUCAGAAUCAAUAUGUUUUCAAAUCCUUUCCUUCAAAUUCAAGGUGGAUGCCCCCACACGAUUUUCAGCAAUCACUUGUUCGGAUCCAAUAUAUUCAUUGUUUUGAAGUAAAAGACAACUUUUUGGUGGAAUAUUCACAUUAUGUAAAAUAUCUUCACUCUCAAUAGUGACAUACAAGUUUAUAUAAAAUAGAAAGACGGGGUGUCCAUAACGUGCGCAUGUGGGAUGAACCAAAUGCUCAUUGAAUUUGAUUUUUCCUUUAGAAGGAGCUUGUACAUGUUCUGCAGUACCCCUUGAGAAUACUCCGCUAGAAUGAAAAGUUCUUAAAGUUAGUUGAGUAUUAGGAUCCCUAAUGGAUUGACCUGCAAUAAUACCUAGGGCUUCUUCCAAUUCGACUAGGUCAUCGUGAAUAGAACUUCGUCCAUAACAUAAUUGACAUAUCCAAGAUGAGAGGCUCGGUAAAAUAGACAUGUCUGUGAAGAUGCAGACUACCUGCACCUGGACAGAAAGACCCUAUGAAGCGUCACUGUUUCCUGGGAUUGACUUUGAGCCAUUCUUGCACAGCUUAGGUGGAAGGCGAAGGAAGAAGAAAAGGCCUCCCUUUCGGGGGUGGCCCAAGCCAUCAGUGAGAUACCACUCUAGAAAGGUUAGAACUCUAACCUUGCGUCAGGACUUACGGGAAAAGGGACAGUAUUAGGUAGACAGUUUAUAUGGGGCCUAGGGCUCCCAAAGGGUAAUGGAGGCAUGCAAAGGUUUCCUCGGGUUAGGCAGAUAUCUGCCCCUAAGUGCAAAGGCAGAAGGGAGCUUGACUGCAAGACCCACCCGUCGAGCAGGGACGAAAGUCGGCCUUAGUGAUUCGACGGUGCCUUGUGGAAGGGCCGCCACUUAACAGAUAAAAGUUACUCUAGGGAUAAUAGGUUGAUCUUCCCUAAGAGAUCACAUUGAGGAGAAGGUUUGGCACCUCGAUGUCGGCUCUUCGCCACCUGGGGCUGUAGGAUGUUCCAAGGGUUGGGCUGUUCACCCAUUAAAGCGGUACGUGAGCUGGGUUCAGAACGUCAUGAGACAGUUUGGUCCAUAUUCGGUGUGGGCAUUAGAGCAUUGAGAGGACUUUUCUCUAGUACAAGAAGACUGGGAUGCACCUCUGGUGUACUAGGUAUCGUGCCCAUGGUAAACGCUGGGUAGCCAAGUACGGAUUGGAUACCUACUAAAAGCAUCUUAAGUAGUAAACACAUCCCAAAAUGAGCUGCGAGGAGUUUUCUGCUCCUAUGGGGAUCAAGCGACAGAGGUUUUCAGAAUUCAAGAAUAAGGUUAUGGCGAGACCAGCCGUUUAUCAUUGCGAUAGGUGUCAAGCGGAAGUGCAUUAA
rnacentral:rRNA from 1 species